UGGGAUUCAUUGGGGAAUUGGGAGGCCCAAUACAAACCCUAUUUUGCAGGCUCGCAGACACGCUCGCCACAAAAGGAACAAGCUGCUCCAGCCUCCAGCGAACGUGCCACCGUUUCCUAAGAGCAGCAGCCUCUCCUCAACCUCUUCAUAUCUUUAUGGCUCGUUGAUGAGCUGCUGCUGCUUGCUUCCUCAUGCAGCCAUGCC
rnacentral:lncRNA from 1 species